AGAGAGAGACAUGCGCGCAUAUCAAUAAGCGGAGGAAAAGAAACUAACAAGGAUUCCCUUAGUAACGGCGAGUGAAGCGGGAAGAGCUCAAAUUUGAAAUCUUCAAGGUUCUACCUUGACGAAUUGUAGUUUAUAGAAGUGUUUUCUGUUAGUGGAGUGGCAAAAGUUCUUUGGAAUAGGACAUCAUAGAGGGUGAGAAUCCCGUAUUUGGUCAUUCCUCCUAGCGUUGUGAUACACUUUCAACGAGUCGGAUUGUUUGGGAAUGCAGUCCAAAAUGGGUGGUAAAUUUCAUCUAAAGCUAAAUAUUGGCGAGAGACCGAUAGCGAACAAGUACCGUGAGGGAAAGAUGAAAAGAACUUUGAAAAGAGAGUUAAACAGUACGUGAAAUUGUCAAAAGGGAAGCGUUUGACACCAGUGUUGUUUUUCCGAAAAUCAAUUACGAAUGUUUUGUUUUUGAGGAGUUAUGACUUCAUCGGCUUGCUUCUUUCUUUACGAAACUUUCUUAAUGCACUUUUCGGUUAACAAGUCAACAUCAAUUUCUUUUGUUGUAAAAGGGUAUGAGGAAGGUGGCUUUCUUUUCGGAGAAAGUGUUUAUAGCCUUGUGCCUCUGCAAUCGGAGAGAUUGAGGUCUGCAGCGUAGAUCCUUCGGGGUUAGAUACAGUUUGUGCUAAGUUAUAGCUUUUCAUAGACAACUUGUUGACUAUGUUCAGUCUUGUAGCUUACUCGCUGAUGCUAUUUUACCUACGCUUAGGAUGUUGAUAGUCACAGCGUGUAC
rnacentral:rRNA from 1 species